rnacentral:rRNA from 1 species
GAUGAACGCCGGCGGCGUGCUUAACACAUGCAAGUCGAACGCUGAAGUGCAGCUUUUGCUGGGCGGAUGAGUGCCGAACGGGUGAGUAACACGCGAGUAACCUGCCUCUUUCUUUGGGAUAUCGCCCGGAAAAGCGUGCUAAUAUUGGAUAUUCUCUGGUCAUCGCAUGGGGGUUGGUGGAAAGGGCGUUUCUGGUGUGGGUUGGGCUCGCGGCCUAUCAGCUUGUUGGUGGGGUGAUGGCCUAACAAGGCUUUGACGGGUAGGCGGCCUGAGAGGGAGACCGGUCACAGAGGGACGGAGAUACGGCCUAGGCUACGACGGGGGGGAGCAGUGGGGAAUAUGGCACAAUGCGCGACAGAGUAAUGCAGCGACAGCGCGGGAGGGAUGGGGACCUUCAGGUUGUGAACCUCGUUCGCACAUGGUGAAACCGCAACAAUGGUUGUGGUGAGGGUAGUGGGUAAAGAAGCGCCGGCUAACUACGUG